rnacentral:lncRNA from 1 species
ACCACACUAUGUGCUUCUACACACCCAGGCUGAACACCCCAUGGGAGGCCCUCCACUUUAGCACCUUGACAAGAAGGGUGGGGACACUGGGAUCAGGCCCAGCCCCCUGGCCCCAAACCCUGCAGCCCCAGCUGGAGGAUGAGGAGAUGCUGGGCUUGGGUGGGGGAAUCAGGGGUGUAAAGGGGCCUGCUCACUCCUCAGCUUGGCUCAAGGCUCAAGGCAUCAAAGGCUCAGCCUGCCCCUCAGGAAGGAGCCUGGGCCCAGCCAGACACUCACCAGGACAAGGGUGAAUGUGACGAGCAGGAGGCCUAGAAUGAGGAGAGCCACAGCAUAGCCGGGGAUGGAGGCAUCCAGCAGGCUGGAGGCUUCGAGGCUAGGACUGCCUAGAGCAGACCAAGAAGGCUAUGGCCAGGUGGGGCCCUGCCUCCCAGACUUCUGAGAAGGCAGAAUCUGGCAACAGAAGUUGCUGCAGGACCAGAGAGCUGGGGCUAGGAGCAUCUUGGAGGGCUCCAUGAGGAGGGGAGGCAGGUUUCAGAUCAGGGCAUGUGGAGGCAGCGAGUCCAAGGGAGGCGGCAGAUGGACAGAGGGAGGGGGCCUGCAGAGGGAAGGAGGUACUGACCGAGGUCUGAGAUGACCGUGUCUACCAAGAGGCCCUCUGCCUCCCCCAGGGUGUGCAGACCCUGGUACACACAGUCCCACACGAGAGCCUGGGCUGGUGCCGCCCUGAAGGUGGCACCCACUCUGACGGUCAGUGGGUCCAGCCUGGCGGGAGGAUCAUCCCACUUCAGGGGGCUGGGCAGCCUGGGGGGCCUAAGGGAGGUCAUCUCUUCCAGCCUCCUGCCCUCAACCCCAGAACCCAGGUCUGAGCCCUGGGUCACCCAGGGCCACCCUGGACCCACCGGAAUUCCUCCACCACCACUUGGUCAAAGUUCUGCAGAGAUCUGAGGACGAGGGUCAGCUGGGGGGUCAGGAGAGGAUGAAGAGGGUCGCAGCUCUACCAAAGUCUUGUCCAGUCAUCCCCCAUCUUCCCGAGGCUUCUUCCCCGCCCCCCCACUUCAUCCCGCCACUUCACCCAUCUUGUCGGUUGCCCCUGAAGUGCCCAGAACUCAAGGCUGGUUUUGUCCUCCAAGGCUUUGGUGUAGGGCUGGCCCAGGAUCUGCAGCCAAACUUCAUAUAGCACCAGCUCUGCCUUCUCCCCUAGAGCGACAGGGGUGGAGGUGGCAUCAGCCUGCAUCCCCUCUCCUGGAAGCCCUGGAGUGGGACACACACCCAAGCUCUAAUGCUCCAUCCAGGGGUCAGCUGCUGUUGGUGUAAAGGCCAAAUUUCUUGCUGCCUGCUUUUGUGUGGCCCACGCGCUAAGAAUGGCUUUUACAUGUUUAAAUGGUUGAAAACAUGGAAAGUAGAGUCGUAUCUUGUGACACAUGAGAAUUACGUGAGAUGCAAACUUCCAUGUCCAUAAAGAAAGGUUUCUGGCAAUGUGGCCACGCUCAUCUGUUGACAUGUUGCCUAGGGCUGCUUUCUUGCUACAGGGGAGGGUUUGAGUAGGUGGUGACAGAGACCCAGUGGCCUGCAGAGCCUUAAAGAGUUCCCAUCGGGCCCUUUACAGAAAAUGCUUGCUAACCCCUGCACUGAUCCAUCUAAUGGAAUACACUGCCCACUCCGUGAGUUGAUCCUAGUAGGAAAUGUUACUGAUAAUUUAACAGCUGCUGCUUUUAUGUUUUAUUUUGUCCCUGCUCUGGUGGGAGACAUGUAAGAAAAUUCACUCCCUGGGAGGAGGUCAUGGUGGGGCUUGUGGCCAUCAACGGUGAAGCCUCUUUAAGAGAAUGCGUGGGGAGCUCUACCAUCUGCUGAGAGGGUUGUGAGGGGCCCUCUGUGUUGAGGAAUGAAGAGGGAACGCUGCCUGUCUGCUGGGAGCUGGCUUUCUGGGGAGCAGAAGAGAUGGUGGUUCAGGCCUGCGGAGGCAGAGGCCCAAACCAAUCUGGUCUCUGGGGCUGCCGGCCGGGAGAGUAGUUGUGUAGGAGUGGGUGUAGGAGCAGAGCCUGAAGGAGGGCACCCCUGACUGCAGCCACAGGAGGCUGUGGUGGUGGGGGUGGGGCAGCACUGUAGGAGGACCAGCGCCUUCUGUGGCUGAGGGGUCCUUGGAGAGCAGCUCCAGGCAAUGCGUAGCUGGAGGGGACUGAUUUGACCCAGCGCUCUCCUAAGCCACAAUGCCCGGCCUAAUGUACUGUUUAUUUAAAAUUCUAAGGAUCUUUAAUAAUUUUAAUGAGGAUCUUUAAAUAAUUUUCCAUGGAUCAUAUUUUUAUUGCAUUUUAAAAUAAUUUACAAUUUGCUUUCACACAUAUUUUCCCUCAUCUGAUCCUCACAACUGCCCUGGGAAGGAGGUUGGAGACAGAGUUGGGGCCUGUUAGGAGACAAAUUUACACAAUGCAUAAGAAAGCUCACUGUGAGCCGGGGUGAGGAAGGGAGGCUUGGAGAAUCAUGAAUGCAGUAUCUAUGUCUAUAUUCCCAGCCCAACCACAAAGCCUGAAAUUCAUUAGGUAUUUAAGAAAUAGCUGCUGAAUUAUUGCCUAGGGGUGCUCAGCUCAAGAAGCAGGGUUGGGACUAACAAUCAAGCUUCCUGACUCCUAGCCCAACACUUUUCCAAACACACCACCUAUUUUUCUGUAUCGGAUAGAAAGUAUAGUGCUUAAGUUGUACAUAAUGUUAACUCACUUUCAAUACAGGCCAAUCAUGAUUGACUAUCAGUAGCUUUUGUGACAAACUUAGUAAACUAGGAAGUUGAACCUUUCAGAGUUCCCCUUCUCAUGUCAUAUGCUAUUUGUUUUGAAAUAAAAAUCCUUCCAAAUGAAACUUUAUCCAUCAAAAUGACAAGAGAAGUGAAAAUAGAUACAAGAAGAAAGUAAAACAUUAAUUUCAA